GAUGAACGCUAGCGGCAGGCCUAAUACAUGCAAGUCGAACGAGAUUAAGGGGCUUGCUCCUUAUGAAAGUGGCGCACGGGUGCGUAACGCGUAUGCAACCUACCUCAAUCAGGGGGAUAGCCCGAAGAAAUUCGGAUUAACACCGCAUAAAAACACAGKAYAGCAUURUMYAAUGUUCAAAUAUUUAUAGGAUUGAGAUGGGCAUGCGUGUCAUUAGCUAGUUGGCGGGGUAACGGCCCACCAAGGCGACGAUGACUAGGGGAUCUGAGAGGAUGACCCCCCACACUGGUACUGAGACACGGACCAGACUCCUACGGGAGGCAGCAGUAAGGAAUAUUGGUCAAUGGAGGCAACUCUGAACCAGCCAUGCCGCGUGCAGGAAGACAGCCCUCUGGGUCGUAAACUGCUUUUAUUCGGGAAUAAACCUUAUUAC
rnacentral:rRNA from 1 species